rnacentral:rRNA from 1 species
GGUUAAGUUACAAAGGGCGCACGGUGGAUGCCUUGGCACUAGGAGCCGAUGAAGGACGGAACUAAUACCGAUAUGCUUCGGGGAGCUAUAAGUAAGCUUUGA